ACGCAGAUAUUUAAUCGGUAAAGAAGAAGAGACAAGGAGAAGAGGCGUAGAAUAAGAUGAAAAAGAAAAGAUUGGGUGGCCGACGAGGCGCGCAACGCUUCAGAUCAUUUGCAGAGUUAACCAACCCUGUGACAUGAUUUACCGGAGAUGAAAGACAGAUUCCGUAUUAUAGUUUAUUGGUGGGAUGAGAGUGAAUACGCCACAAACUGUCCCAACGAUCAAGAUCUUUUAUUAGAACCUUGAAUUACACUCGUGGUUUUUCACAUACGCUCCUAGUUGAAUAUCACCCUAAAGCUGAUGGAAAGCGCGUGAAACAGGUGUAACUGUUUCUGUGUGUUUGCGGUGGUAUUCCCGCGGGUAUCUUUCGGGAGACGGAUUAUCAGAGAUAAAGGAGAGGCUGGUGGAGAAUUAUGAAGAGAGAGAGAGAGAGAGAGAGCGGGACAAAAAGACCGCCGCGAAUCGCAGGGAGGCCAAACCGCCGCAAAUUCGAGAACGGGACUCCGCUUGGCCAGCCAGGGCAGAGCGUAGGGUGGAAAGGCGAACGGGCCGGGUGUCUUAGCGGCGGCGACC